rnacentral:lncRNA from 1 species
AAGCAAAAUAUGAGGUUUGCAGUAGCAGCUAAAGCUGCCUUGCUCCUGCACCUUUCCCUUUUCGUACUGAGUAGCUUCACGGUGUCCUCUCAGAUCUUGCCUGAGGCUUUGCCUCCUCAUUACCAUGGAAUUUCGCCUGUAGUGCCACCUGCUCACCCACCAAGCCACCACCAUCACCAUCACCAUCCCCAUCCGCAUCCCCACCCGCCAACCCCUUCCCCUACUAAGCCCCCAACUCACCCGCCUGUUUACCCCCCGCCCAAAGCACCCAAGAUUGCUCCAGUUUAUCCACCACCCAAGUCACCAAGCAAGCCGCCAACUUACGCUCCUCCACCCAAGUCACCCAGCAAGCCGCCAAGUUACGCUCCUCCACCCAAGUCACCCAGCAAGCCGCCAACUUACGCUCCUCCGACCAAGCCACCAACUUACGCCCCUCCACCCAAGCCACCAGUUUAUCCUCCAACUAAGCCACCGACUGCGCCCCCGACUAAGCCACCAGUGCACCCACCAACAUAUCCUCCACCAUCGCCUUCUCCACCUAAGCCGCCAACUUAUCCUAAACCACAAAGGAGCCUAGUGGCUGUUCAGGGCGUUGUUUUUUGCAAGUCAUGCAAAUACGCUGGAUCUGACACCCUGUUGGGAGCGACGC